GCCGAGGUGGCGAAAUUGGUAGACGCACUAGUCUUAGGAACUAGCGUCGAAAGACAUGCGAGUUCGAGUCUCGCCCUCGGCACCA
rnacentral:tRNA from 2 species